GCAGCACACGGGGAGCUUGCUCCCAGAGAUGCUGCGAGGAAAGUCCCCUUGCCUUGGUGCAGAGAGUGCGAGUGGGAGACCACAGGGCUCGUGCCAGACUUCCAGUGGUUACGUUUCUCGCGGAGCCUUUGUGGCCGGCUCGGGCCCUUCGCAGCAGCGCACACAUGUUGUGAGCACUCAUGAUGGGAGCGCCAAUAGCACGGGGCUCACUCUC
rnacentral:RNase_MRP_RNA from 1 species